UCUCUUUGUUGAAGUAGAAUUGGACAUUUCGGGGGUCCGGACUGGAGUGCUGACGACACUGCUUCUGCAAACUCUUAGCCAGACUCUCUGGUCCACACAAGAACACUCCCACUGCUGACCUGCCAGUCGCAAGGGUGAAAGACAGCACAUCAAAACAAGCCCUACAAUUUAGAUCAAGCUGUAUGCACAGGUCAUAUAUAGGCUGCACUUUAAAAAAAGCAACAACAUGGCAAUUCUGUUUCCAGAAAUGUUGCAUGCUGUGAUCUGAAAAAUAAUGCAACUUAAAGGAAAUGCCUGUAUGUUUAGGCUUAUUUUGCACGGUCGGGGGAUCCUAGGAUUUUUCUGUUUGAGCAUGCAUUGGAGUGUGCCCCAAGAAGCAAUAUAUUUUUAAUUUGUUUAAUGCAAGUACUUCAACUAUAGAUGGUGAGCGCUGUAAGCAUUCUUUAGCCACAAAAGAGAGGCUCUCUAGCCCAUCGCCUGCCAUGGCAUGUGCAGGUAUAAACAUCAUGGCCCUUGCUUGAGAAUUUCUUUUACUCAUAUUCAGAUUUAAUGCCUGGAUUAAUUAGACAAGUUCAUAAGAUUAAUUGUUUAAGAUUUCUUUAAGUAGCCCUCGUAAGGACCAGCCCAAAGCACUGAAGCCCUGUGACCUGACUGCUAUACAACCUCCAUCAUCAUUACCACAAGGACUUUCUUGGGGAGGGGCAUCUAUCAAUGGCAGAGCAAAUGUUUUCCUUGCAGAAGUUUGGAAGUUUAGCCCCUUGCCCGUGGAUGGAAAGAAAAGAAGUAUAUGCAGAUGUAAGUGAUCGGCACAAUUUCAUGCAGAUUCCAGCUUCCUCCAGUUCAACCCUGGUGUACAAGCAGCAGCCCUCACCUGGGGUGGGCACUGGCCACGGCAGAGAAUUCGUUGCUCCACAUGGGUCUUCCAAAGGAGGUCUUCUGCCUCAGGCCCGUCACCAAGUCGGUGGACCUGUCAAAGUUGAGGGCUGCUUGACCAACCUGGAUGCCCAGCAAAGAAAGACAGCUAAAGUCAGGCACGUCUCACAGCAGCCGCAAAAGUAUUCCAAACCAUUUCCUAAAAUGUGUCCUUUGGCUCUUUGGGACUCCUUUGUCACUGUGGUUUGCAAUCAGCAAAACCACAUGGUGUUCAAGUUAAAUAAGCAUACCUGUGCACAAUCCUGGAUUCUGCACUCAUUCUGCACAAACUAAAUGGUUUGCGACUUAGUUCACUUAGGAACCUGCUGAGUUUCUGCGCUUCUUUUCUGAGGCUUUAAUCCUGCCUUCCAAGAUGAGAUCUGUCACAACUGUGGGCAGGACUUUCCUCGAAGUGGAACCCUGCUUAUGAAUUCCUUCCCCAGAGACAUUGGCUUGGUGCUACUCUUUGCUCUUUCAGAUGUUAAAUCCAAACAUUUGAUGUGUGGUCAUUUACAUUUUAGCCUGUUUUAAAACAACUUUUAUUUGUCUAAUAUUCAUUGUUGUCUUUUCUUGCAGAUCCAAGUAAAGGUUGCACUGGAGAGAGCAGUGCUUCACAUUUCAGGGCAAGGAGCUUCAUGGGCACCAAGAAGGACGUCCACAGGCACUUCAGCGCCCCCAAACCCUGGAAUAAAGUUGCUGGUAUUUUUUUUUCUUGAUAGAUGAGCCCAGCAGUUUUCCAGGGGAUCAGGGCAUCUUUCUGGGAAAGGCAUCUAUGGAUCAGCAGUCCUGCCUGCCAACGGAGUCUUGGCUUGCAAGGGUCAGCUUUCCAUAUGGCAACUCACCAUACUGCUGCUCCAGCCUGUGAGGAAGAGGUGGUAACUCAAGAAACCAGUUCUGCCAGACCCUUCCAUCUCGAGCUCCAGGGAAGCCAGAAGGUCUUUGAACCAGGCAAAGGCUCCUGUCUCACGGCAGAUCCAGUAGAAAUAGAUCUAGAAGCCCAUAAGUAAAGAGAAGCAGAAAGAUGGCUCUGAUGAGAGUCACUACAGCCCCCCUGCUUGUCAAACUCAGGUGCUGUGCAGCAGUGGCAUCAUAAUAUUUGCAAGGUGGGAACACAGAUCCAGCUUCCGUGCCUCCCUCUGCACCAGGAAAUUGUGGGUUGAUGCCAGUGCAAAGAACUUUGUGCAGUUCUCUGUCCCACAUAAAUCUACCAAUCCCAGGCUUCCCUGGACAGGGAUGGGGGCAGGAAUUACUGUUUAGCUUGCAUGUCUGAAGAAAGAGAGAAAGAGGGAGGACAAGGGACAUACGUAUUGCAAAAAUGUAUCUGGACUCCUUUUUACGCGCAUGCAUUCUGGAUCUGACAAGAAGGAAGGAAGAGUGCCGCUUUAAGAUAGAGAGGCAUGUUUGCCUGGGCGUGCAUCUUAUUUUUGUCCUGAUAUUCUAUUAUAGGGAAGUAGGUUUUGCAGAGUCUUGAACCAUUCCCUAAACUGUUUGGCUGGAGAUCAAAGUGGGGAGAACAUGCACAACACUGGUACUAUUGAAACUUUUUUUUUUCAGGACUGGUCCAUGGCAUUUUGCGGCUUGAGGCAAAGGAAGCUGACUGCACCAGCAGCUCAAUGUUACAUCAGCAUGAGAGCUUCCACCACAAUGGAAGGCAGCAAGCUAGUUAAGGAGGACCUGGUAGGCACCUGCGCACACCUAGCUCCAUCCUCCAACAUCCUGCCGCUCUGCAGCAUCCGCUGCCCUCAAUGCCAGCCAUGUUUUGUCCCUGACACUUUCUUGGGGAUGGGAGGAAGGUAUGCUCUCUAGUCCGAGAAACAUGGUGAUCGUGGGAAGCUUCCCACAGUGCAGUGCGGCAACAGUGCUCUCCUGCAAGCAGGACAAGCAAACAUAGGUCUCGGAGCUGCAGGACAGUUCUACCUUACCUGUCUGGUUUGCAGCGUCUGGUCACCGUGCUGUAAUUUGAACCAGAUGGAUUUCAGCACCGAGGCAAAGGGUGUCACCCCGAUCCCUGCUCCCACCAACAUGGCCACCUUGUACUUGAAGACAUCCUCACUGGCUGUGCCAAAGGGACCGUCCACAUUGAUUCUGGAAAGCGUGAGCUGCCCAGAGAGCCCUCAGGCUAUGCCACACCCCACCAGUGGCCUGGAGCUCAGCCUGCCGCUUACUUGGGUGACGUCGGCAUCUGCAGCUGAAAGGUAUCGAUCAGCGCCUCUGUCCAAUCCCCUGCUGCCCGAAUGUGGACAGAGAAGAAGCUUUCCUCUGGUGCAGAAGUGAUGGUGAACGGAUGCCACUCCAGGUAGGAGAUGGAAGGGCAGUUGAGGAAGACGUACUGUCCCACUUCCAUCUUAAAAUCCAUCUUACACAGCUGCAGUUCAAGCACUCUUGAGGGGUGCAUGACAACCUGAAGAUAAAAGCCAUUGAGAUCUUAGGAGCAAAGAAAACCCAACCCAAACAAAAUACUAUUGCAUGUGACUGUCCAGCAUUUUCAGCUCGGUUGCAGUGGGUCUUGGUGCCCUGUCAGAAGGCAGGAGGGGAGACAGACCGACAUCUUCCCUGGCUCCCGUAGGCACAGAUCAAAUUCCCAAGUCUCCCGUGGCUUGUGCCAGCAGCAGCAUUUACCUUUGUGACAAUCACCUUCUGGCAGGAGCGCCAUAUCCGUAAGGCUCGCUCAAAGGCGUAGAGAAUGAGUGGGGCCAAGACCCACUUCCAGGACUUUAAACAAAGAGCAGAAAACAUUCGUGUCAGGAAGCUCCGUCACCUCCGCAAGAAGGCGUUUCCUCAAUUUUUGAAACCUUCCACCCUGCACAGCAUUCCUCUCCAGCAAAAAUAUUCCUCAAGAACAAAAUCAGAACUGAACCAGUGUGGGUGGCUGGGAGUGCUUAAGCUAUUUUUAAUUGCUCUUUAAGGUUUAAAUUUCACGUAAAUGUUCAGAUGUAUAAUUUGUUCCCCCUGCCCAAUUAAUCACACAGUCAUAUUUCGGACUUGCCAAAUAUACAAUAUCUCAGCUGA